rnacentral:rRNA from 1 species
CUACGGAGGGUCCGAGCGUUAUCCGGAAUCAUUGGGUUUAAAGGGUCCGUAGGCGGGAAUCUAAGUCAGUGGUGAAAUCUUGCAGCUCAACUGUAAAAUUGCCAUUGAUACUGGAUUUCUUGAAUUAGUGUGAAGUGAUUAGAAUGUGUAGUGUAGCGGUGAAAUGCAUAGAUAUUACACAGAAUACCAAUUGCGAAGGCAGAUCACUAACACUAUAUUGACGCUGAGGGACGAAAGCGUGGGGAGCGAACAGGAUUAGAAACCCGGGUAGUCC